CAGCAGCCGCGGGAAUACGUAGGUGGCAAGCGUUGUCCGGAAUUAUUGGGCGUAAAGGGCUCGCAGGCGGUUUCUUAAGUCUGAUGUGAAAGCCCCCGGCUCAACCGGGGAGGGUCAUUGGAAACUGGGAAACUUGAGUGCGGAAGAGGAGAGUGGAAUUCCACGUGUAGCGGUGAAAUGCGUAGAGAUGUGGAGGAACACCAGUGGCGAAGGCGUCUCUCUGGUCUGUAACUGACGCUGAGGAGCGAAAGCGUGGGGAGCGAACAGGAUUAGAUACCCCCGUAGUCCCUGUCUCUUAUAC
rnacentral:rRNA from 1 species